rnacentral:rRNA from 1 species
AACGAACGCUGGCGGCAUGCCUAACGCAUGCAAGUCGAACGAAGCCUUCGGGCUUAGUGGCGCACGGGUGCGUAACGCGUGGGAAUCUGCCCUUGGGUUCGGAAUAACAGUUAGAAAUGACUGCUAAUACCGGAUGAUGUCUUCGGACCAAAGAUUUAUCGCCCAAGGAUGAGCCCGCGUAGGAUUAGGUAGUUGGUGGGGUAAUGGCCCACCAAGCCGACGAUCCUUAGCUGGUCCGAGAGGAUGAUCAGCCACGCUGGGACUGAGACACGGCCCAGACUCCUACGGGAGGCAGCAGUGGGGAAUAUUGGACAAUGGGCGAAAGCCUGAUCCAGCAAUGCCGCGUGAGUGAUGAAGGCCUUAGGGUUGUAAAGCUCUUUUACCAGGGAUGAUAAUGACAGUACCUGGAGAAUAAGCUCCGGCUAACUCCGUGCCAGCCGCCGCCGUAAUAC